rnacentral:rRNA from 1 species
UACGGGGGGGGCAAGCGUUGUUCGGAAUUACUGGGCGUAAAGGGCGCGUAGGCGGGAUGGCAAGUCGGUCGUGAAAUCCCUCGGCUCAACCGAGGAUCGUCGAUCGAUACUGCCGUUCUUGAGGAUUGCAGAGGAGACUGGAAUUCCCGGUGUAGCGGUGAAAUGUGUAGAGAUCGGGAGGAACACCGGUGGCGAAGGCGGGUCUCUGGGCAAUUCCUGACGCUGAGGCGCGAAAGCGUGGGGAGCAAACGGG